AAAAAAAAAAAAAAAUUAAAAAGAAAUUCUCUUCUAACUGUAUAGGAUUUAACUUGUGUCCUGAAGUCAGACACACUACGAAGCAAACCAUUAACAUCGUGAGUCCCAAGAAUGUUUGACUCUGAAAAUUUUCAUUUCAUGGCUCAGGCAGAAAAUACUAAACAAAAGUCAGCUGGUUGAACUGAGGAAGCUGCUCCUGGCUGGAGAUACUUGGCCUUAGGGCUUCGGCCUGAGGCAUCCGUGUCUUAACCCAUCUGCAGUUCACCAGUUGGAGAAGAAAUUUAGUGCCUCGUUACUCACCAUCACCACGGGCCCUGGUAGCUCUGCGGAUAAACCAGCUUGGAUUUCACCCUUGAGGAUUAACACUGCAACAUCGCAGAGGCACAUAAAGCCACCUGAAAGUCAAGGUAAGGCAGGGAACGUGCGCACUGGGAUCUUUGUGUGGUUGGUGUCUUGUCUUUUGCCGUUUGUUGGGCACAGCAGCUGCGGUUGCUGAAGCGGCCCUUAUUAGAGUGCUUUAAGUGGCCUGGAAGGUGAUGUCCCCCAAAUCUGACAACGUGCAACGCAAUGCUAACCACGAUGGUUGGAGUGGUUUUCACGGGCAGGCAGAACAACCCUGCCACGGUCAGGUGAACAGAAGCCUCUGAGGCCUGGGAUGGCAGAGCGGACGGACAUGAACAGAAUCCGUCUCUGCCCCGAGGCUGCUCACGUCAGACACACAGCCCCGAGCGGCCAAGGAGUCUGCAUUUUCCUCGGCAGAAAGAGCGGUGGUUUGCACUGUGGCUCUGCCACGUGCCGCGUGCCUCGUGCUAGUGAUGGAAGGGAAUGAGACUGUGAUCUCCCUCAUGACACUAAUUAAUAUCCUUCAUCCAAGGUGGUGACACUGUACUUUGGGGCUGAAAUCUGAAACUUAACCAAUGGCAGUUCUGGUCCAGCUUGGAGAGGCUAAGUGACAGCUUGUUACCUUCAGCUUCAUUUAUUAACAUCAGCUGAAUAAACAAAUCCCGAUGGGACCAGAGCCCUGCUGCCCAGGAACCCCUCCCACUGGUUCUCAAAACUCUCUGGUGAUUGGAAUUGAAGCCAUCUUGGCGAUCCACACUGAUACCUGGAGCUCUCACUCGCUAAUUUCACCCUCUAUGUUAUUGUAUUGCAUGGUUAUGCCACUAUCUUCUUACGAAUUUCCUGUGAAAGGACAUUUAGCCUACCUAUUACUUUUGACCAUGAUGAACAUUGCUAGUGUGAACAUUCUUGUGCAUAUCUUUUUGUGAUCGUCUACAAGAGCUUCUCUAGAGCAUAUCCUCAAAGCUGGCUGGAGUGCGAUGGCUCAAUCUCGGCUCACUGCAACCUCAACCAAAUUGAGGUAAACCACUCAAUCUGGACAUCCACAGACUCCCCAAAGCCCUGGGCUACGAACCCUAAUGUAGAGGAAGAAGCACAGAGCUUAGGACGCAGCACACAGGAGCAACAAGCCGAGGAGAGGAGGCUGUAAUGAACAGAGGACGGAAAGCAACAGCCAGAGGGGCAGGCAAGCCAGGAAGAGCCCCAGCAGCGCAAACGCCACUCAGUCUGCAAACCAGCGCUGUCGGACCACAGCUCAGCAGUACUUUUAAUCAGUAACACAGCUGGGCUCGAAGGGGAGUGCGGUCACACGCCACAGAACAAACAGCACGCUCACACCAAACGGCAAGGCUCCUGGAGGCAUCCUGGCUGGGGAUUCGCAAGCGGACCCCCGGCUUCUUCCUGGGGCUACUCUUUGGCACUCCAGGCUCAGGGGCUUUACUCAAAGCGACGUAGGUGGUUGUACAGCGACUGGACGUAGGUGAAGACACACAUGGGGUCCGGCUUGCGGCCCAUCACCAUCAUGUCCUCCACUUCGAUGAGGCGUUCACAGUUGGCCAGAUUCCUGAAACACACAAGCCCCGUCAGAACGGCGGUCCCAGCCAUCAGCCAGCCCACAGCCGUGACAGGGCCGGGAUCUCCAUCCCGGGAACAGAGCUCAGCCUCUCAGCCUGCAGCCAGAGGUUCCCAAGGACCCACCAGCGGGGAAUUCAGAUAACCCUGGCAGAACCCUUGGAAUCACUGACUCCAAUGCAGUGUUUCCGAAACUCCCAGAUUUAUGAGCCACCUAUACAAUUCAUAGUUGCCUUUAAAUAGACUUACUUUAUUUAAUUUGGUUUUUUUUUUUUUUAG